UACGGGAGGCAGCAGUGGGGAAUAUUGCACAAUGGGCGCAAGCCUGAUGCAGCCAUGCCGCGUGUAUGAAAAAGGCCUUCGGGUUGUAAAGUACUUUCAGUCGUGAGGAAGGUGUUAAGGUUAAUAACCUUAGCAAUUGACGUUAGCGACAGAAGAAGCACCGGCUAACUCCGUGCCAGCAGCCGCGGUAAUACGGAGGGUGCGAGCGUUAAUCGGAAUUACUGGGCGUAAAGGGCACGCAGGCGGUUAAUUAAGUUGGAUGUGAAAUCCCCGGGCUUAACCUGGGAAUGGCAUUCAAGACUGGUUAGCUAGAGUCUUGUAGAGGGGGUAGAAUUCCGAUGUGUAGCGGUGAAAUGCGUAGAGAUGUGGAGGAAUACCGGUGGCGAAGGCGGCCCCUGGACAAAGACUGACGCUCAUGUGCGAAAGCGUGGGGAGCAAAC
rnacentral:rRNA from 1 species